GUGCUCACUUCAGCAGCACAUAUACUAAAAUUGGAACAAUACAGAAACAAUUAGCAUGGCCCCUGUGCAAAGCUGACACAGAAUUUUGUGAAGCAGCACGGUGGCUC